rnacentral:rRNA from 1 species
UACGGCAGUCAUAGCGAGAGGGAAACGCCCGGUCCCAUUCCGAACCCGGAAGCUAAGCCUCUCAGCGCCGAUGGUACUGCGCGGGGGACCGCGUGGGAGAGUAGGACGCUGCCGGAC